AAGUCGUAACAAGGUUUCCGUAGGUGAACCUGCGGAAGGAUCAUUAACACGUAUCCAAACGUUAAAACCCCCCCCGUGAACCUUCAUCCUGCUCUUGUAACCCGCGUAGUUCGCAAUCUCUGAUAAAUCAUAGCCCGGAAAGUUGUAGUGAUUCAGAGACCUCUGGCUACGUGCGAACAUUGGAACAGUUACAAUCGAGCGGUAGUUCUAUAGGCAAUGUUUCCCCAAGCGGUCUACAGGAAUCGUAGAAGCGCUAUCCUUGCACAAUCAAUGACACCGUACACUCGGGCAGGAGCUUUGCCAAGGGUCCCCAUGCCCCCUAAUAACCCUACAGUUUAAUGUGAAGCUCAAUGUAAUAACCGAACAAACUGUUAACAAUGGAUAUCUUGGUUCUC
rnacentral:misc_RNA from 1 species